rnacentral:rRNA from 1 species
UACGAAGGGGGCGAGCGUUGUUCGGAAUUACUGGGCGUAAGGGCGCGUAGGCGGCCCCUUUUGUCGCGUGUGAAAGCCCCGGGCUCAACCUGGGAGGUGCGCGCGAAACGGGGGGGCUUGAGUUCGGGAGAGGAGCGUGGAAUUCCCAGUGUAGAGGUGAAAUUCGUAGAUAUUGGGAAGAACACCGGUGGCGAAGGCGGCGCUCUGGACCGAGACUGACGCUGAGGCGCGAAAGCGUGGGGAGCAAACAGG